rnacentral:snRNA from 1 species
GUAUUUGCUUAGACAGCACAUAUAUUAAAAUUGGAGCAAUACAGAGAAUAUUAAUAUUAAUAUGGCCCUUGCACAAGGAUGACAUGCAAAUUCGUGAAGUGUUUGGUAGUACAUUUCC